GAGGGUGUAGCUCAGUGGUAGAGCACAUGCUUAGCAUGCACGAGGUCCUGGGUUCAACCCCCAGCACCUCCA
rnacentral:tRNA from 1 species